UACGGAGGGUGCGAGCGUUGUCCGGAAUCACUGGGCGUAAAGGGCGCGUAGGCGGCGCGGGAAGUCAUCGGUGAAAGUUCAGGGCUCAACUCUGAAUCGGCCGGUGAUACUCUCGUGCUCGAGCACUGUAGAGGCAGGUGGAAUUCCGGGUGUAGCGGUGGAAUGCGUAGAGAUCCGGAAGAACACCGGUGGCGAAGGCGGCCUGCUGGGCAGUUGCUGACACUGAGGCGCGACAGCGUGGGGAGCAAACAGG
rnacentral:rRNA from 1 species